ACCAUAAUAAUACUAAUUGCAAUCUUGGUGGGAAACAUAUUGUGGCGUAAGUGGCAUAAGGAGGUGUAUAUAUUUCCAUCCUUUAUGGAAAGCUAUAUAUUUCUUAUUUAAUCAACACCAAGCUUUGCAUUUAGUGAUCAAGUCGAUAAUACUUCUUAACAAAUCUUAGUUGCAGUUGAUAAACAGAACAAAAAAUUUGGAAGCAGGGAGAUCAUGUGAAGAAAAGAUUUGGCGACAAGAUGUUGAAAACAAAGCCAAGGCGAGUAAUGGCGCCAGGCUGAUGCCAUUCAUGUGGAUCUCUCGCUGAUUGUUGAGGAGCUAGAUUCUCUUUGUCAAGUAAUUUCUUCUCUGGAAGAUAUUGUACAGGCCUUGGAAUCCAGAGAGGAUAUCAGGUUUUCUGGGAUAUUAAGCUCUUUGCAGUUCAUCAAUGCGAAUAGUGAACAGAUGGCCAAUGGCCGUAAGAUUAGUUUUUAAUCAUCAUUUAAGUUCUGUCCGAGUGGUUGCUCUAUGGUAUCUAGUGGCAUAUCUUCUCUUUGGUGGAGUGGUAAAUUUAGAAUCAAAACUCGUUAACACCAGAAUUCCUACUACUGACCAAAACAAAACAACCAAUAGCUAUAUUUUGAACUUGCAAAGGGAUGACAGCAGUUUAUUUAGUAUGGAGUAUCUAUUAUUGUUAAAUGAACAAGCACUUCAUGCUUUUGGAGUGGUAUACCAUUUUCUCCAAACCAGAGGAUUUGUAUGGAAAAGUGCCAGUUCCCAUCCUUAAAUCAAAUGAGUACUUGCAGGUUCUUUUUUAAGCUAUAUUCCGUCA